rnacentral:rRNA from 1 species
UACGGGGGGAGCAAGCGUUGUUCGGAUUUACUGGGCGUAAAGGGCGCGUAGGCGGCCUCCGCAAGUCGACUGUGAAAUCUCCGGGCUUAACCCGGAAAGGUCAGCCGAAACUGCGGGGCUAGAGUGCAGAAGGGGCAACUGGAAUUCUCGGUGUAGCGGUGAAAUGCGUAGAUAUCGAGAGGAACACCUGCGGCGAAGGCGGGUUGCUGGGCUGACACUGACGCUGAAGCGCGAAAGCUAGGGAGCGAACGGG